UGUUGGAUGUCCCGGUUCAAGCCUGUAGUCGUGCCUGGUAGGCAAAUCCGCCGGGCUUAGAUGAGGGGUGAUAACGAGGCGGCUUGCCGCCGAAGUGAGCGAUACCCUGCUUCCAGGAAAAGCCACUAAGCUUCAGCUACACACGACCGUACCGCAAACCGACACUGGUGCGCGAGAUGAGUAUUCUAAGGCGCUUGAGAGAACUCUGGAGAAGGAACUCGGCAAAUUGACACCGUAACUUCGGAAGAAGGUGUGCCUUUAGUUGGUGAUCCAUUUACUUGGUGAGCCCAAUGAGGCCGCAGAGAAUCGGUGGCUGCAACUGUUUAAUAAAAACACAGCACUCUGCAAAGACGAAAGUCGACGUAUAGGGUGUGACGCCUGCCCGGUGCUGGAAGAUUAAAUGAUGGGGUGCAAGCUCUUGAUUGAAGUCCCAGUAAACGGCGGCCGUAACAAUAACGGUCCUAAGGUAGCGAAAUUCCUUGUCGGGUAAGUUCCGACCUGCACGAAUGGCGUAAUGAUGGCCACACUGUCUCCUCCAGAGACUCAGCGAAGUUGAAAUGUUUGUGAUGAUGCAAUCUCCCCGCGGAAAGACGGAAAGACCCCAUGAACCUUUACUGUAGCUUUACAUUGGACUUUGAACAGAUCUGUGUAGGAUAGGUGGGAGGCUUUGAAGCGGUGCCGCUAGGUGUCGUGGAGCCAACCUUGAAAUACCACCCUGGUGUGUUUGAGGUUCUAACCUUGGCCCGUUAUCCGGGUUGGGGACAGUGUAUGGUGGGCAGUUUGACUGGGGCGGUCUCCUCCCAGAGUGUAACGGAGGAGUUCGAAGGUACGCUAAAUACGGUCGGAAAUCGUGUUGAUAGUGCAUUGGCAUAAGCGUGCUUGACUGCGAGACUGACAAGUCGAGCAGGUACGAAAGUAGGACAAAGUGAUCCGGUGGUUCUGUAUGGAAGGGCCAUCGCUCAACGGAUAAAAGGUACUCUGGGGAUAACAGGCUGAUACCGCCCAAGAGUUCAUAUCGACGGCGGUGUUUGGCACCUCGAUGUCGGCUCAACUCAUCCUGGGGCUGUAGCCGGUCCCAAGGGUAUGGCUGUUCGCCAUUUAAAGAGGUACGUGAGCUGGGUUUAAAACGUCGUGAGACAGUUUGGUCCCUAUCUUCCGUGGGCGCUGCAAGAUUGAGAGAGCCUGCUCCUAGUACGAGAGGACCGGAGUGGACGCACCUCUGGUGUAUCGGUUGUCACGCCAGUGGCAUUGCCGAGUAGCUAAGUGCGGAAGAGAUAACCGCUGAAAGCAUCUAAGCGGGAAACUCGUCUCAAGAUGAGUCUUGCCGGGGCCUUGAGCCCCCUGAAGGGUCGUUCGAGACCAGGACGUUGAUAGGUCGGGUGUGGAAGCGCAGUAAUGCGUUAAGCUAACCGAUACUAAUUGCCCGUGAGGCUUGACCCC
rnacentral:rRNA from 1 species